rnacentral:misc_RNA from 1 species
AUGACAUAUAUGGUAUGGAAGGGAUUAAUUCUGGUCUGGAACUUGGUACUAAGCUGAACAAAGCUGAAGAGAUCAAGGAAGAACUUGAAAGACUACGUCGUCAGAAAGAACUUCAAAAGGUUGCAGCGCAUCUCCGACCUUCUGGGUCAAUUAUGGCAAAUCUGUCAUUGCCACAGUUUUUAGAGGGUGAUGGCAUUAUGAAAGGGA